AGUGUGUGAGCCAUGAAUCAAGAAAAGCCGCUAUUGUUUUUAAGAUACCCGUACCGUAAACCGACACAGGUGGAUGAGGAGAGAAUCCUAAGGCCGGCGGAAGAAGCAUUGUUAAGGAACUCGGCAAAAUGACCCCGUAACUUCGGGAGAAGGGGUGCCAACGAGAGUUGGCCGCAGAGAAUAGGCUCAAGCAACUGUUUAGCAAAAACACAGGUCUAUGCAAAACCGUAAGGUGAGGUAUAUGGGCUGACGUCUGCCCGGUGCUGGAAGGUUAAGAGGAGAGGUUAGCGUAAGCGAAGCUUUGAAUUUAAGCCCCAGUAAACGGCGGCCGUAACGAUAACGGUCCUAAGGUAGCGAAAUUCCUUGUCGGGUAAGUUCCGACCCGCACGAAAGGCGUAAUGAUUUGAGCGCUGUCUCGACAAUGCAUCCGGUGAAAUUGAAGUACCAGUGAAGAUGCUGGUUACCCGCGCCAGGACG
rnacentral:rRNA from 1 species